AUUGAACGCUGGCGGCAGGCUUAACACAUGCAAGUCGAGCGGGGGAGGUUGCUUCGGUAACUGACCUAGCGGCGGACGGGUGAGUAAUGCUUAGGAAUCUGCCUAUUAGUGGGGGACAACAUUCCGAAAGGAAUGCUAAUACCGCAUACGCCCUACGGGGGAAAGCAGGGGAUCUUCGGACCUUGCGCUAAUAGAUGAGCCUAAGUCGGAUUAGCUAGUUGGUGGGGUAAAGGCCUACCAAGGCGACGAUCUGUAGCGGGUCUGAGAGGAUGAUCCGCCACACUGGGACUGAGACACGGUCCAGACUCCUACGGGAGGCAGCAGUGGGGAAUAUUGGACAAUGGGCGGAAGCCUGAUCCAGCCAUGCCGCGUGUGUGAAGAAGGCCUUUUGGUUGUAAAGCACUUUAAGCGAGGAGGAGGCUCUUAAGGUUAAUACCCUUGAUGAGUGGACGUUACUCGCAGAAUGAGCACCGGCUAACUCUGUGCCAGCCGCCGCCGUAAUAC
rnacentral:rRNA from 1 species